rnacentral:rRNA from 1 species
AACGAACGCUGGCGGCAUGCCUAACACAUGCAAGUCGAACGAGACCUUCGGGUCUAGUGGCGCACGGGUGCGUAACGCGUGGGAACCUGCCCUUAGGUUCGGAAUAACUCCCCGAAAGGGGUGCUAAUACCGGAUAAUGUCUUCGGACCAAAGAUUUAUCGCCUUUGGAUGGGCCCGCGUUGGAUUAGCUAGUUGGUAGGGUAAAAGCCUACCAAGGCGACGAUCCAUAGCUGGUCUGAGAGGAUGAUCAGCCACACUGGGGCUGAGACACGGCCCAGACUCCUACGGGAGGCAGCAGUGGGGGAUAUUGGACUAUGGGCGGAAGGCUGAUCCAGCAAUGGCGCGUGAGUGAUGAAGGUCUUAGAGUUGUAAAGCACUUUUACCCGGGAUGGUAAUGACAGUACCGGGAGAAUAAGCACCGGCUAACUCCGUG